rnacentral:rRNA from 1 species
CAGUCGCCACGGUAAUACGGAGGGGGCUAGCGUUGUUCGGAAUUACUGGGCGUAAAGCGCACGUAGGCGGCUUGGUAAGUUAGAGGUGAAAGCCCGGAGCUCAACUCCGGAAUUGCCUUUAAGACUGCCGAGCUAGCAGGUGAGAGAGGUAAGUGGAAUUCCGAGUGUAGAGGUGAAAUUCGUAGAUAUUCGGAAGAACACCAGUGGCGAAGGCGGCUUACUGGCUCAUACUGGACGCUGAGGUGCGAAAGCGUGGGGAGCAAACAGGAUUAGAUACCCGCGUAGUCCCUGUCUCUUAACA